GCCCCCCCCCCUCAUUUCAUUAUACACACACAAAUAAACCCCAUAUCACAAACACAUCCGAUCAGAUCCUGUUCCUCUCAUCUCCUUCAUUUCUUUUUAAAACAACCCUAAUACACACACAUAAAACACCUUUCUACACACAAAACCUCAGACAUAACACAAACAAACACCCCUGUCUUCUUAUACCAUGCCCUCUUCCUCUCUGUGUAAACAUAAACGGCCGACCACCGGUGUGAAGCCGGUGCCGGUGCGGUGACAACGACAGAAAACCGGCGACUACCAGUGGUCUCCUCCGAUAACACCCCCUACCCCUCUCGGUCUAUCUCUCCUCUCGUUCUAUACAUUCAAACACACAGAAAUCAGCUCCCAACCCACAUGUUUUACCCCCUAUUAAUCGGACCAACCACCACCAUCUUUUGGUGGUGGCAGACUACAACAGCAACACUACCACCACCACAGGCGGCGGCGCUGUGGUGGUUGGUGUCGGACGAUACAGAAAGCAGAGAGAGAGAGACCGAGAGAGAGAGAACCGGUGUUGAUAGUGAUCGGUGGUACUCGUCUCGGACCGGUGGUCCUAGCUUCAGACCGUCGGGUUUCACGAUGACACUGAAGACGAUGACAGAGAAUGGAUGAUAAGCAUGGUGCUGAAGAUGUCGGUGGUGGUUCGACGCGUUGACCGGAGCUGACUGAGGUCCGACAGCUGCUGAUGCCCGGUAAGCACUCACCUCGGUUCCUAAAUCCCUUUUACGUUUUCUUGAUUAGUGACUGAUGAUGAUGAGUGUUAUUGCUGUUGUUACUGGAGCUGGUGGCCGAGGCCACUGCCAGCGACAUCAGCUGAAGUAAUGAAGCUAUUCAGAUGGUUUCAAGUCUAGAUUGGGUUACGUUUCAUUAUUCGGGUCAACAGCUCGGGUCAACGGUCACAGGCUAGUCAACUCGGUCAACAGUCAAAGUUUGGUCAUCGGCUCGGGUCAACAGUGGACAAGUUUGUUUCAGGUCAAGCAUGGUCAACGGCUCCAACACGGGUUCAGAUUCGGCUCGGUUCUGGUCAGAUUUAACUCAGCGAGUCAACCCGGGUCAACUUAGUCCGCGUUUCGACAUGAAGACUUGGAAUAUUGUAGAAUGCACGCUAGCAAGUCAAGUCUUGGAAACGACAUCAAGAAGUCGUAAAUUAGCUAGCUUUGCACUGGAAUAUUCAGGUGAGUUCAUAACCCCACCUUUUUACGAUUUUACAUUUUUCUAAAUGUUUUCGGGGUGGAAAGACAUGCACUUUUUACAAAGCAUACAAGGAUUACAUAUUUUUAAACCAUUUUACAAGCAAGUUUUAACUGACACAAAUGGUUUACGAAAAGCUUAUGUUUUUAUACCGGUUUUCAAACAAGCAUAUUUUUCGAAGAAUGCAUACACACGAGUUCUAGUUUUCUAAACUACGGAAAAAUACAAAUACAAGAGUUUACAAGAUACAAAUGUUACAAUGUUUACAAAUGGUGAGAUGGAGUACAAAAACAUAUUCAGACCGCGGAACAAAAGGUUAGAUCUAAUGGGUUUCAGGCAACCCCACUCUUGGCCUACUUCUACCAAUGAGUGCUUCUGUGUCUCAGUCAAAGUCGACAAAAAUGCCUAGGUUUGGUGGCUUCCUAUGUCGUGACACAUGUUAGUGGCCUUGCAAACCACUAGCGAUCACAAACAUUCAUAGUACUCAGUUACAGAUACAUUCUACAGGAUACAUUCAACCAGUCAUAGUACUCCAUUACAGAUGCGUUUUACAAGUUACUUUCAAACAUUCAUACAUUCUACAAGUUUCAUAUUAUGUUUUCAUUCAAGAAAUUAAACAUUCAAGUAUUUAAACAUUCAACAAUACGACAAAAACCGGUCAUUCAAAAAGAUUUAUUUCAAAUCUUUUACAAACAAACUAUGAACUCGCUCAACUUUAUGUUGAUUUUUCGCAUGUCUCUUUCUCAGGUUGCAUUUCUAAGACAAGGCACGGUUGGAAUAGGGGAACCAUGAAGAGUCGAGUACUUAGUGGCGUUCAAUUACUAAAAGACUUAGAUUGUUUGCUUCCGCUGUGCAAUGAAGAUACCAGUCCAGUCACGCCAAUGCUCUGAUAUUCGGGGUGUGACACUUGCAUUGAUAGAAGUGUUCACUGGAUGCGGUGCUAGGCCGCAUCGGUGUGAGUACUUCCGUUUUCAUAACUAGAUGCAGUGCCAUGCCGCAUUACUAUACCGUUCUCAUAUUCCAGGGUGAAUAUGAUCAUGGGGGGAAAUAACGGCGUGACAGUUGCCGGAGAGCGGAGACGAAGGCUUGCUGGAGGGAGCAGUGGCGGAGCUACCUUAUGCCGGGGGGCAACGCCCGCUACGGCUUGGUGUGGAAAAAUUUGGAAAAAUUAGUGUAAAUUUUGGAAAAAUUUGAGGUUUUUUCGAUUUCGUUACGACUUAUUUAUAAAACGUUACGGUUUGACGAAUUUUCUAGAUCUGCUUCUAAGAGGGAGGUGGUUGGUUUGCCGGCUGGCUGGCUAGAAUGGUUAGGUUGGGUUGGGGAUAUAGACAAAUGUCGGGUCCCAUGAAAAUUGUUAGGUUUGAGAAUAUGACUUGUUUUAAUUAUGGCGGAGCCAUAAAGGGUUUUAGGAUUUCUUUUUAUAUAUUAAUUAAGGGGCGUUACUUAAAAGAAAAAAGUUAACCGAGAA